rnacentral:rRNA from 1 species
UACGUAGGUGGCGAGCGUUGUCCGGAUUUACUGGGCGUAAAGGGCACGUAGGCGGUUUUUUAAGUGGGAUGUGAAAUCCCUGGGCUUAACCCAGGAAUUGCAUUCCAUACUGGGAAACUAGAGUGCAGGAGAGGAAAGUGGAAUUCCAAGUGUAGCGGUGAAAUGCGUAGAGAUUUGGAGGAACCCCAGUGGCGAAGGCGACUUUCUGGACUGUAACUGACACUGAGGCUCGAGAGCGUGGGGAGCAAACAGG